rnacentral:rRNA from 1 species
CAUGCAAGUCGAACGAGAUCUUCGGAUCUAGUGGCGCACGGGUGAGUAACGCGUGGGAACCUACCUUUUAGUACGGGACAACGUUUGGAAACGGACGCUAAUACCGUAUACGCCCUCCGGGGGAAAGGUCAGCCGCUAAAAGAGGGGCCCGCGUCUGAUUAGCUUGUUGGUAAGGUAAUGGCUUACCAAGGCUACGAUCAGUAGCUGGUCUGAGAGGAUGAUCAGCCACACUGGGACUGAGACACGGCCCAGACUCCUACGGGAGGCAGCAGUGGGGAAUAUUGGACAAUGGAGGCAACUCUGAUCCAGCAAUGCCGCGUGUGUGAUGGAGGCCCUAGGGUUGUAAAGCACUUUCAACGGUGAAGAUGAUGACGGUAGCCGUAGAAGAAGCCCCGGCUAACUUCGUGCCAGCAGCUGCGGUAAUACGAAGGGGGCGAGCGUUAUUCGGAAUUAUUGGGCGUAAAGGGCUCGCAGGCUGCUUGAACAGUUAGACGUGAAAUCCCCGGGCUCAACCUGGCAACUGCGUCUAAUACUAGCAAGCUAGAGAAAUAGAGAGGAAAGUGGAACUCCCAGUGUAGAGGUGAAAUUCGUAGAUAUUGGGAAGAACACCAGUGGCGAAAGCGACUUUCUGGCUAUUUUCUGACG